GAUGAACGCUAGCGACAGGCCUAACACAUGCAAGUCGAGCGAGGAGAUUCCUUCGGGAUGAUCCUAGCGGCGGACGGGUGAGUAACACGUGGGCAACCUGCCUCAUAGAGAGGAAUAGCCUCCCGAAAGGGAGAUUAAUACCUCAUAACAUUGCAGUUUCGCAUGGAACAGCAAUUAAAGGAGCAAUCCGCUAUGAGAUGGGCCCGCGGCGCAUUAGCUAGUUGGUGAGGUAACGGCUCACCAAGGCGACGAUGCGUAGCCGACCUGAGAGGGUGAUCGGCCGACAUUGGGACUGAGACACGGCCCAGACUCCUACGGGAGGCAGCAGUGGGGAAUAUUGCACAAUGGGGGAAACCCUGAUGCAGCAACGCCGCGUGAGUGAUGACGGCC
rnacentral:rRNA from 1 species